UUCUCUCUCAAAAUGCGGAGCCUAGGAAGCCGCCCCUUUCUCUCUUCGUCUCUUCCCAUCGAACUCCAAAUCAAUCCAGUGGGAGGUGUAGUUCAUUCGAAGAAACCAACCCACAGUUCUCUCUGAUCUGAUUCUUCAAGUUCAGCUUGGUGAAAUUUCUACACGCUAUGAAGUUUCUACAAGAAGUUUCUUGGAAGUAGGGAGGAUAAAUGACAUUAAAGCAACAAAAACCAUAUGUGGAGAACUAUACAAGCUUCGAUGUGCCCUGCUCCCUGUAUUUUUUCUUGAAAUGAUCUAGUGCUGUUUUGUUUUUGCAUUUUAUCUCAGUUAAUCUGACAUGCACCACAUCUUGUCUUUCUGGACAACCUUUAAAAAACAAAAAAGAAAUUAUAAAACAUUUCAGCAAGAAAUUCAAUAUAAUUGUAUUUGAAAUUGGAAUUAAAUUAGUCACCUCAACUUACCAUUACACCAAAGCCCCGCCUAUUAUUGCAAAAAAAAUUCAGUCAGUUAAGAACUUGACUGAAAAGAAUGAGAAUGAAAUGCCAUAAUAAAAAAGUACUUACUCCAACCGCACGAGAUCUUUAAGCCCAUAGUCCUCUGCACCUAAGAGUGUUGUAAAAAGCUCCUAGGUAACAUCUGGUGCAGAGGACUAUUGGCUUAAAGAUCUCGUGCUCCAGCUGCACGACACCAUCUGCACGAGAUCUUUAAGCCCAUAGUCUACCUCGGUGCUUUCUACAACACUCCAGGUGCAGAGGACUAUGGGCUUAAAGAUCUCGUGCUCCAGCUGCACGACACCAUCUGCUCCAGCUGUUGGAGUAAGUACUUAAUUAUUAUGGCAUUUCAUUUUCUUUAUUUUUAGUCAAGUUCUUAACUGAGUGAAUUUUUUUGCAAUAAUAAGAGGGGCUUUGGUGUAAUUGUAAGAUUGGGAAAAGAACUUUGGGGUGACUGAUUUAAUUCCAGUUUCAAAUAUAAUUAUAUUGAAUUUUUUGCUGAAAUGUUUUAUAAUUGUCGUCCAGAAAGACAAGAAGUCGUGUUUGUUAGAUUAAUUGAGAUAAAAUGCAAACUUGAGAACAAAACAGCACUAGAUCAUUUCAAGAAAAAAAAAAUGUUGUGAGGAUUCUUGAUGGUCCUUGCAAGGGCCAGCAAGGUUCGGUUGAACAUAUAUAUAGAGGAAUUCUGUUCAUCUACGAUCGGUACCAUCAUGAAAAUGCUACGUCUAUAAUCCCGUCACAAACCAAUGGUUAACUCUUCCUGAACCAAGACAUGCUCCAUUCUUAGAGGCUCUCUCUUGUGAGGAAUGUAGCAGCAAAGAUGGUGAUGGUGUAGUGCAUUUCAAAGUAACCAUAGCUAUUAUGAAAAGGAUAGUGGGAGCCACAUAUGACAGAUUAUAUAUAGAAACUUUCUCUUCUCGUACAGGCAAAUGGAGCGAAUCAUGUCUCACUUCUCCAUCUGAAUUUUCAGAUGACAACGGCGGAGUCCUAACUUUGUCAUGCAGUAGGUGGGAUCUUGUACUGGAAAGUUAGUAGUGGUCAUUUGGUUGCUUAUGAUCCCAACCUGAGGGAAAUUCGUCUCUGGCUGAUAGAGUUGCCUCGUCCCUGUUGGAAAAAGAGGAAGGGAUUCUAUAUGGAAUAUAUCUUGGGACACUUGUCGGCAGCGGAUGGUUGUCAUCUUCGGUUUGCCAUAAGUGAAAACUGAUAGUGUGGGAGCUCAAAAAGCAGCUUUCUAGUUAUAGUUGAUCAAGCAUCAGACCAAGUAGUGAAUGGGUGUUGAAGGAAGAAGUGAGUCACAAGAAGUUGGGCAUCGGUAAUUCUCCUUCUCACAUUCGAUUGAUAGAAUUUCAUCCUCGCAAUGCAAAACUUGUGUAUCUUCAGAGGGAAAGCAUGUUGCUAUGAUUUUGAGACGAGAAGAUUGGAACCUUCAGUAUCAUGGAAAUGGAACUGGCAAACGACAGAGUAGUUCCUUGCUUCCAACCACCUUGUCGCCCCUUCUUUGCCUUGUUUAGCCGGGUCUGCCCAGACUUAACAUAAUGUAACCUUGUACUAUAUUAUAUAUUCAGAUUUCAAUGUAUAUUACCUUACAUUAUAAGCUUUUUUUCUAUUGAGGUGCAUUUGGUCUUAAUGGUAAAAA